rnacentral:rRNA from 1 species
AUACGGAAGGUGCAAGCGUUGUUCGGAUUGACUGGGCGUAAAGAGCACGUAGGUUGAUGUGUAAGUCGAAUGUGAAAGCCCAGGGCUUAACCUUGGAACUGCAUUCGAAACUACAUUUCUUGAAUACUUGAGAGGUUGGCGGAAUUCCAGGUGUAGGAGUGAAAUCCGUAGAUAUCUGGAGGAACAUCAGAGGCGAAGGCGGCCAACUGGCAAUGUAUUGACACUGAGGUGCGAAAGCGUGGGUAGCAAACGGGAUUAGAAACCCUAGUAGUCC